CUUUCAUUUGUGGAUUCUGCUCAUAUCUAACAUUUUUUUAAAAAACCCCAAAACCAAAAAAAUAAAUUCCUUUCCUUUUUUCUUCCUUCCUUUUUUUUUUUUUUCGAGACAGGCUGGAAGGCAGUGUUGUGAAUCUCAGCUCACUACAUCCUCCUCCCAGGCUUAAGAGAUCCUCCUACUUCAGCCCGAGAGUGGGUGGGACCACAGGCAUGCGCCAUCACAGACACCUGGCAAAUUUUUGCAUUUUAUUGUAAAGAUGCGGUUUCACCUUGUUGCCCGUGCUGGUCUCAAACUUCUGGACUGGAGCAGUCCUCCCACCUUGGCCUCCCAAGGCAUGAUCCACUGCACCCAGCCCAUCCACUAAAUCUUUAAAUGAAAAGCUGCCCCUGGCCUCUGUUCCAUACCUGGAAUUUUUUCUAGGCUACUGGCUUUAACGUUUUUUAAAAAAUCAUCAUUCACAGUGAGAAGAAUUGCUUCUCUCCCAUUGGUUGUGAAUGGUGGGACUGUUUUUCCCUGACUUCCCCCAGCCACGCGGAAACGGUCCUAAAUUCUACAUUGGGAUCAGUACUUUCCUGUUUGGAAGCUCCUCUCUUCAGCUCUCUAAUCACCAAGGACUUACAUAAAAAGAUUGAGUGGAUGUGUUAAAAGGGUGAGGUUGUUGAUAGAUUUAUUCUCUCUUUUCUUAGUUUUGUUUUUCUUUGUAAGUAGGAUUAUAGUAUAGAAAAUAUCUUUUUUUUUUUUGAGAUGGAGUCUUGCUCUUUCGCCAGGCUGGGGUGCAGUAGCACUACCUUGGCUCACUGCAACCUCCUUCUCCUGGAUUCAAGUGAUUCUACUGCCUCAGCCUCCUGAGUAGCUGGGACUAUAGGUGCGCACCACCACACCCGGCUAAUUUUUUGUAUUUUAGUAGAGACGGG
rnacentral:lncRNA from 1 species